rnacentral:rRNA from 1 species
ACGGGGGGGGUAAGCGUUGUUCGGAAUUACUGGGCGUAAAGAGCGUGUAGGCGGUUUGCCAAGUCUGAUGUGAAAUCCCCGGGCCCAAUCCGGGAAGUGCAUUGGAUACUGGAUGGCUUGAAUCCGGGAGAGGGAUGCGGAAUUCCAGGUGUAGCGGUGAAAUGCGUAGAUAUCUGGAGGAACACCGGUGGCGAAGGCGGCAUCCUGGACCGGCAUUGACGCUGAGGAGCGAAAGCCAGGGGAGCAAACGGGA